rnacentral:pre_miRNA from 1 species
GUAACUUCCUCGUCGCCUCAUCAGCAGUUCUUGUAUAGUGUGUGUAUUUCCAUGGUGCUAGAAGAAGUGCUGAUGAGGCGAUGAGGAAGUUACGACAAA